GAUAGCAUAUGUGUCAGGUACUACAUUAGGGGCUUUGCAAACUGCUCCUUUUAAUCCUCCCAACAAUGCUGCUCUUCUCAUUUUGUAGAAUGGGGGUCGUACGUGUGGGGAAGAUGUGAACACAGAGAGACUCAGGUUCAAGUUGUUUGACGGACAGAGCUCCAACGUUGAAUCCCAAGACACCAAACGUGGACCAGACCUGGCUCCUGUGCUUGGUCACAAGAACGAAGUUGGAACGUGUGUUUCCUGCUAUCAUGGAGGCAUCGCAGCACAGUAAGUCGGACUGGAGCAGCGGGAGGGCUGUGUGAUGACACCCUGGCAGUUUGCGAGCAAAAGCGGCCACA